rnacentral:rRNA from 1 species
AAUCAACGCUGGCGGCGCGCUUAACACAUGCAAGUCGAGCGAGAAAGGGGGCAACCCUGAGUAAAGCGGCGUACGGGUGAGUAACACGUGGAUUAUCUACCUUUUAGUGGGGAAUAACUUUGGGAAACCGAAGCUAAUACCGCAUAAGCCUGUAAAGGGAAAGCCCCUAUUGUAAAAGAUAGGGGCGCUGGAAGAAGAGUCCGCGGCCGAUUAGCUAGUUGGUGAGGUAAUGGCUCACCAAGGCGACGAUCGGUAGCCGGCCUGAGAGGGCACACGG